rnacentral:rRNA from 1 species
GCUAGGACGAACGCUGGCGGCGUGCCUAACACAUGCAAGUCGAGCGAGGAGAUUCCUUCGGGAUGAUCCUAGCGGCGGACGGGUGAGUAACACGUGGGCAACCUGCCUCAUAGAGAGGAAUAGCCUUCCGAAAGGGAGAUUAAUACCUCAUAACAUUGCAGUUUCGCAUGGAACAGCAAUUAAAGGAGUAAUCCGCUAUGAGAUGGGCCCGCGGCGCAUUAGCUAGUUGGUGAGGUAACGGCUCACCAAGGCGACGAUGCGUAGCCGACCUGAGAGGGUGAUCGGCCACAUUGGGACUGAGACACGGCCCAGACUCCUACGGGAGGCAGCAGUGGGGAAUAUUGCACAAUGGGGGAAACCCUGAUGCCAGCAACGCCGCGUGAGUGAUGACGGCCUUCGGGUUGUAAAGCUCUGUCUUCAGGGACGAUAAUGACGGUACCUGAGGAGGAAGCCACGGCUAACUACGUGCCAGCCGCCGC